rnacentral:rRNA from 1 species
CCCUUAGAUGUUCUGGGCCGCACGCGCGCUACACUGAUGCAUUCAACGAGUCUAAAACCUGCUCUGAUAGGGGUGGGUAAUCUUUUGAAUGUGCAUCGUGAUUGGGAUAGAUGAUUGCAAUUUUUCAUCUUCAGCGAGGAAUGCCUAGUAAACGCAAGUCAUCAGCUUGCAUUGAUUACGUCCCCGCCCUUUGUACACACCGCCCGUCGCUCCUACCGAUUGAAUGAUCCGAUGAAUAUCAUGGAUUGAGGAUGCAAGUAGGUUCGCCUAUCUUCAUCUUCGAGAAGUGAAGUAAAUCUUAUCAUUUAGAGGAAGGAGAAGUCGUAACA